rnacentral:rRNA from 1 species
AUGGACAUGUCCGCACUGGCGCUCAGCAAGAACCCAGUUUUCCAUGAGCAGAGCAAGCAUAUCGACGUCCGGUAUCGUUUCAUCCGCGAUUGCGUGGAGAAUGGGAGCAUCUCUACUGAUUUUGUUGGCACCAAGGACCAGCUCGCAGACAUCCUAAUGAAGGGAUUAGGGCGAGUCUGUUUCCAUGAGCUCACCACAAUGAUUGAAUGA